rnacentral:rRNA from 1 species
AACGUAGGUGGCGAGCGUUAUCCGGAAUGAUUGGGCGUAAAGCGUCCGCAGGUGGCUGUGUAAGUCUGCUGUCAAAGAGCAAAGCUCAACUUUGUAAAGGCAGUGGAAACUACACGGCUAGAGUGCGUUCGGGGCAGAGGGAAUUCCUGGUGUAGCGGUGAAAUGCGUAGAGAUCAGGAAGAACACCGGUGGCGAAGGCGCUCUGCUAGGCCGCAACUGACACUGAGGGACGAAAGCUAGGGGAGCGAAUGGG